AUAUCCAUUUUGUCUCAGUAAUGGAAACGUAGCCAGCCCAGGCGUCGGUUAAGAUCUAAAGUGGACGUAAUCUCUACGUACUUAUAAUAAUGCGAGAGUGCUGAUGGGAGUCUUCGUAAUAACUCUUUUGUUAUUGGUUCGAUGUGUGGCCUUCCUACGUAGACGAACGAGCGAAGUUCAAGCAAACAACAACAACAACAGCAACAGGAAGGUGAAGCUCGAAGUACUGUGGGACCAGAUACAAUAUUCGACAAGUGGCGACAAGGCUUCGUCAUUCCAUGGCAUACGAACCGACGCAGCAGAGUGGCGCAGUGGAAGCGUGCUGGGCCCAUAACCCAGAGUUGCAGGUACCAUGACCACUACAACCGCAUACUGUUGUCACAUCAACUCGAUAAAAUGGACGUCUGGUGGCAACGCGCUAAAGGCAGCCCAGUGAGAGCUGCGUAAUAAUAAAUAGUAAUACUUGACGCUCUCCACAGUUGUGGUAUCAUUCGAUAGCGCCAAGUUGGCGGGAAGUGGCACGAACAGCGCCAUUAUGUUUUAGUCAGG